GGAGCCCGGUGCUUUGUGCCAGGCGGCGGAGACCGCCACAGCGCCCCCGACCUGGGACGGGAGAGGCGCUGAGCAGGCCCGGCCUCUCCUCCCCACAUGGUGGGGGCGUCUGGCGAGCCGUGUGUGAGCCCGGGAACCCCGGAUCCCGGCGGGACCAAGGGCUGCCCCGCUCAGCGGAGCUUUACACCUCAUAAACCAGCUGAUACGAGCUGAUACGAGCUGAUACGAGAUACAAGAGAUCAGAUAAUUGAAAGGUUUAGAUUUUAGCUUUAGCAAAGGAGAGGGGUGUGGAGUGAACAUGGUCUGUCUUGAGCGUGAACAAGGAGCCGUCCGUGCAGGGGCUGCACUGGUGACCUUUGAAGGUCCAACCCGAGCUGUUCUGUGAUUCUGUGACCGGAGCACUGAGAGGGGAUACAAAAUCUUAUCAUCAGAUACAAACAAAACGCUGAACUAUCAGCUACUGAUGAUGUUCCCGGGAAAAGGUUUAAGUGUUGUAUUGAAAGUUAACUGUUGUUUUUGACUUUCUGCUCUCAUUUGUUUUUUAAAGUAUUUCAAACCCUACACAUUCUUCUGAAAAAUGAAAUGGGCUCUGAGAGGCAGGCAUACCAAACACCACGAAGCUGUCCAGGCACUAUGCCUCAUAAAAAUCUACCUUUUCAACAAUGUAGUUGACAAUAAUUUCUAACUAGGGGAGGAGAACAUACCAACCAGUGCCGAUGUAUCUGCAUUUUCCCGCUGACACACAUCCAGCAUUGUCUGUGCCUACAGAUGGCUUUAACAUCACUUAGGAUAUUCCCCACCAGCUGCCUGCAUUGGGGCUGGCACAAAUUCAAGCAAAGAAUUGAGUACAAUAAUGAUGACCACCAUGCAAAUCGUAUCCUAAAUGGCACUGAUUUCGCUGACUAGAUCUGCACCGACCAACAAGAAACCUGGAUACCCAGCUUAGCUAAGAACAGCUUGCAAUAGAUGUCUAAAGUUGGGUAAGAUGAACUGCACUUUACAUGUUCCAUUGGGGAAAAAACUGUUAAAUGGAGGUGGAAGGGGAAAUUCACAAUUGCAGCAUCGCUGAGUUCAAACGUGCCCCAAAGAGACUGAAGGGUGUGUAUGCAGCAGGAUUAGGGAGUUGUUCUAGAAGACAGGUUUGCAGCGAGGCUGAUGCAACAAUGAGCCAGAGUUUCAAGGCAGGAUGCCGUGGCAAACGAGCUCAACCAUCGCACAGGAGCUGCAAAUCUGCAUCCUACCCUUCGCAGAACUCACCAGAUCCAGGCAAGAGGCCAUAGAAAAUGUCACCAUUGAAAUACUGAAUUAUUGAAAAGGAGGCCAUAAAGAGGAUGUCAGACUGAAAAAAUCUAGUAACAUUGCCCAGGCUACUCAGGAAAACCACAAAACAGAAGACUUCCAUCACAAAAUAUUUCAGAAAAUUCAAGUAGUGCACAAACUCCAUUAAUCAUUUUUAAACGAUAUUCUAAAUCAAAAGACAGCUGCAACCAAAGAAAACCCUUUUAUUCCCCAGUCCUGCUUAAGUAAAAAACCUUGGCAGAAUUCAGAUGUGUUGUUUAUCUCUACAGCGCUGCUUCAGCCUACCAGUGCUAUGAGCAGAAGUAGUGUUGCUAAGUGGAAAUUAUCUGAUUAAGGGUUCAAAGAUGUAAUCCCUUCCAAAUUGUCAGACUGACUUUACCUUAAGGGCUAAAUAAACCAACUUGAAUCGCAUUUGUGAGUGCUGGAGGCUGAGACCACGCACAUGAAAAGUUACCGGAGACGGGCUAACCUGCAAUGACUUGUUACCACCUGAAAUGCUAAAAGGAGGAAAAGGCACAACGGGAGACAAGCUGGAAAGCUUCACUCCAUUCUUCCCCUCGAUCCACCUGGAACAUCAGCUAUCACACCAUCACUCUUUGGCAAGAUAUCUGCCUGUUGGAAAACAGCUCCAAAGGAUGCCCUUGUCUGUCCUUCCAGCAGCACAAAACCAGCUGUUUAACAAGUCUAUCUUACAUAGCUGCAUCAACCAAAAAUGCUGCAUGAACUAAAGGAUGUCUAUCAGUGAUGUGUAUCUAUUCAGAAAGAUAAAUGAUUUAGUCAAGUUAGAUAAGAUCUGAUUUUGUUCAGCAUUUGUGUGAAUUUAGCUCAAGGUCAUAAAAAGAGAAAAGCUGCUAUGACAUUUGAGAAGCUGUCAAGAAUCUCACUGGUUUCAGUCCCAUAAUUUCUUUCAGCUCUACUAAGAAAGCUACAGUUGCCUGCAAACAGCCACUUAAAAGCCUGUAUUGAUCCAUUGUAUUCUGUUUCUUACUAUGGAAGUCACUAGUAUGUAGUGAAACUAAAUAUCCUAACUUCUACAUAAAAUGUGUGCUUUUUAUUAUAUGGAAUUUAAAAGACAGUUAAUGUGGGAUAUACUGCAAUGAGCAGUUAUGGUAUUUAAACCUGAAAUAAUUUUCUAGCUAAGGAGGCUGGUACUAGUAGAGCCAGAAAGGUGCAGAAAGCUUUACCAUAUACAAAAUUCUCAUCCUCUGAGUUUGUGCCAAUCCAUAAGGAACAAACAAGGUUUGCCACAGCCAUGUUUGUUAUAAAUUCAGAUGCUGCAUUCCAAUGAGGUAACAGAAAAAUAUAUUCUGUAAAAAAUGAUGAAGGCUAAAAUUCAAAAGCUCAAAACCAGCACCAAAGCAAUGAAAGGAGAAGCCAGCAAUUAAUAAUAAACAUCCUGACAAAUUUAACUUAACAUAUUAAAUGCUGGUGAAUCUUAUUCUGUGGCCUAUACAUACUUCAGAAAAAUUCUAAAAUACACCCAGGAAAGUAUUUUCAUACACUCUCCAAUAAUGUUUUACUGUCCUGUGUUUAUUAAUUAGAGUUUUCUUUCCAAACCUGGUAAUUUCAAACCCUGCCCUUUUAAAUUUUGUAAAUCAGUUCAGUUUUUAUAUAUAAACAUGUCUGGUGCUAAGACUUAUUGCAGAUAACCACAGAGCACAACAUUUGCUCAGGAGCAACAUAGAUUAAAAAGGUCUGACAGAGGACAAGUUUGGGAGAAUCAGGAGCUGAGAUUUUUUUCUCACCAAGCUACAAGCAUUUGCCAAGUCCCAGCUAUUAAGGAAAAUCAUUAUUAAGCCAACAUCAAAGCUCUUUUGAUAAAGAACAGUUUUUGCUUCAAGUAAUCCACAUGUCACAGCAAUUUUCUGUUAUUUAGUUCUGUUGCUGCUUUACCUAGUAUCUUAAAAGCAGCUGAACUUGCCAAGAGAUGUCUCGUCUCAAAAAGCUGAUACUCUGCUGAAGCAAGUUUUGUGGGCAGCAGAGUGAGUAGAGCGAGGUUCCUAAGGUGCCUGUCAUUGCUCAGAUUUGGUAAGUUCUGUAUUAACUUACUUUGGAUAUACAGAAGGUCUCCUUCAUUGUGAUAGCUUAUUUUCAUAAAUACUGUAUAUUUACUCACAGGACAUUAACAUUAUUAAUAAAGUCACAGGAACUGUUUUGGUAGAUCAGAACUGUACCCUAGACCAGUAUCCUGUCCAGCAGCGAUCAGGAACUUGUGUUUCAGAAAAAUAAAUUGCUCAUUUCAAAUUCUGCUUUCUGUCUUUGGAAAACCAAGUCAUAUUAACAGAGUUAGUGCUUCAACACCUUCCGCUCUCCUCCUCAGGUUCGUUUCCACAGCGAUACUGCUGGUGGGCAAUCUACUGAUCCUGUGAGUGGUGUUAGUUCGUCGAUAAAACAGUCACUUAAAACCAAACUCAAAGUCUUUUAGUGAUGCAGCCAGAUAACUGAUGAAACUUCUUAAUUAAAAAUAUAAUAGUAAGUAAUUUCAAAAAGGGAUCUUCCUCUGAGCUUUAUGACAAGCUUUACUGUGCGACAGUUUCUGUAGGCCUAUGUGGAAUGUAAGAGCAUUUGGCUAAUUAACUCAUCUGGUUAAGGAUUAUUCUAUAUAAAAGAAACAAGAAAUAAGAAGGAAAGUGAUAUAUUGAACACACACAGACACGUAAAAUUUGCCAAAGGAGCAGGUGGUAACAAAGACAACAGUGAAGAGCAGAACUCUUCGGGUCAUUAAAGGAGCUACUGAGGAAGCCACCCUGAAGACAAUCAACCUGAGUUUGGUCCCUGCUACGAUGGAGGAAACAUGAUUAUCAUGAGUUUUACAACAUUUUUGAGUGGGUGUAUCAGACUGUGCAAAACUUUUAAUGGGAUAACAGCAGUGGCCUUUGGGAUUGUACAAAACUUACUACGGGAUGUUCACAGAAUUGGCCCAAGGCAGGGAAAGGAAGGAUUAGAUGGAUCUAAGGGGGACAUGUAAGAAAUGGGAGGAGGGGGGUUCAUGCAUGAGCAGGCAGUGGUUCACUUAACUGUCUACACUUACAUUACAUAUGUCCGCUGUGUGCGUCUGUGCAUAUGCUUGUCCAGGACACAUGCGAGCCUAAAACCCCUCUGAGGUCUAAAGCAUGUACAUGGAUGGACUUCAGCAGCCAAGAGCAGCAACCCCCCAGUCCCGGGGACCACUGGAUUCAGCAGCUCCCAUAAGAUUCUUAAACUUAUUUAAAAAGAAAAACAACAACAGCAUCAACAAACACUCUACAGAUUGAUCAUGGGAAUAGCAAAAUAAUUGAACUUAAAAGGAAAAUUAUGAAUUUUAUUAUAUGUAAAAUACUAGCAAAACAUCAAAGAAAAUGUUGAAAAAAUUCUCUACACUGCUAUACUAUUCUUACAGACAUUACUUGUAACAUUUAAAAUUUAUUAAAAAGAAACGUUGAAAAGAACUGCAUAGAAGUUAAGUGUAUUUUCCAGAAUGGUACUGCAAGUAGUCUGUGCUGCUGUUUUGCCUGCUAGCCAGCCUGCCAAACAGAUUUUACCAGACCAACUGCAUUACAAACGAAAAGCAAAGGAAUAUCUCAUCACAAUGGCAUUUAACACCC